rnacentral:lncRNA from 11 species
GUUUUCUUUUGUUUUGGCAACCAGGGUAUAAUUGCACAAUUAACCUGCUCCUUUAAUUUUUGUAAGGAGAUGUCAACACUCUAAUCACUAUCUAAGAGUAGAACUUUGCAGUUCCAUACUGUAUACUUUUAACCAAAAAUAAAUCUACGAAGGAAAGAAAACCCAGAUUCACCUUGAAUUCACUUCUGGCUGUUCCCAGGAGGUGUUGCCUACUUCCAGUGAGUAUUGCAAGUUUUUG